CGUCUGAUGGAGCACGCCGCGUGAGUGAUGAAGGUUUUCGGAUCGUAAAACUCUGUUGUUAAAGAAGAACAAGUGUUAGAGUAACUGUUAACACUUUGACGGUAUUUAACCAGAAAGCCACGGCUAACUACGUGCCAGCAGCCGCGGUAAUACGUAGGUGGCAAGCGUUGUCCGGAUUUAUUGGGCGUAAAGCGAGCGCAGGCGGUUUUGUAAGUCUGCUGUGAAAGCCCUCAGCUCAACUGAGGAAGUGCAGUGGAAACUACAAAACUUGAGUACAGAAGAGGAAAGUGGAACUCCAUGUGUAGCGGUGAAAUGCGUAGAUAUAUGGAAGAACACCAGUGGCGAAGGCGGCUUUCUGGUCUGUUACUGACGCUGAGGCUCGAAAGCAUGGGUAGCGAACAGGAUUAGAUACCCUGGUAGUCCAUGCCGUAAACGAUGAAUACUAGGUGUUGGAGGGUUUCCGCCCUUCAGUGCCGCAGCUAACGCAUUAAGUAUUCCGCCUGGGGAGUACGACCGCAAGGUUGAAACUCAAAGGAAUUGACGGGGGCCCGCACAAGUGGUGGAGCAUGUGGUUUAAUUCGAUGCUACGCGAAGAACCUUACCAGCUCUUGACAUCUUCUGCCAACCCAAGAGAUUGGGCGUUCCCUUCGGGGACAGAAUGACAGGUGGUGCAUGGUUGUCGUCAGCUCGUGUCGUGAGAUGUUGGGUUAAGUCCCGCAACGAGCGCAACCCUUAUUAUUAGUUGCCAGCAUUUAGUUGGGCACUCUAGUGAGACUGCCGGUGAUAAACCGGAGGAAGGUGGGGGACGACGUCAAAUCAUCAUGCCCCUUAUGAGCUGGGCUACACACGUGCUACAAUGGAUGGUACAACGAGUCGCGAAACCGCGAGGUCAAGCUAAUCUCUUAAAGCCUUCUCC
rnacentral:rRNA from 1 species